rnacentral:rRNA from 1 species
GACGAACGUUGGCGGCGUGCCUAAUACAUGCAAGUCAACUGAAAUACCGGUAGCAAUACUGGUAUGGAGGUGGCGCACGGGUGAGUAACACGUAGGUAAUCUGCCUUCAGGUCUGACAUAACCCAUCGAAAGGUGAGCUAAUAUCAGAUGAUGCAGCGGCUUGACAUCAAGACAGUUGUUAAAGCUUCGGCGCCUGAAGAUGAGCCUGCGUCUGAUUAGCUAGUUGGCGGGGUAACGGCCCACCAAGGCUGCGAUCAGUAGCUGGUCUGAGAGGAUGAUCAGUCACACUGGAACUGAGACACGGUCCAGACUCCUACGGGAGCAGCAGUAAGGAAUAUUGCUCAAUGGCCGAAAGGCUGAAGCAGCAACGCCGCGUGAGGGAUGAAGGCUUUUGCUUGUAAACCUCUGUAGCGAGAGACAAAACUCCC